UGUUGAAGCACCGGUUCCCAUACGAUCACCGAAGUUAAGCAACGUCGAGCCUGGUCAGUAUCUAGAUGGAUGACAGCUUAGGAAAUUCAGGUGCUAUA